AAAAAAGGUAAGCUACUAAGAGCGAAUGGUGGAUGCCUUGACUGGUAAAGGCGAUGAAGGACGUACUAGACUGCGAUAAGCUACGGGGAGCUGUCAAGAAGCUUUGAUCCGUAGAUUUCCGAAUGGGGCAACCCAAUGUAUAGAGAUAUACAUUACCUAUAUAGGAGCGAACGAGGGGAAUUGAAACAUCUUAGUACCCUCAGGAAAAGAAAUCAAUAGAGAUUGCGUCAGUAGCGGCGAGCGAAAGCGCAAGAGGGCAAACCCAGUGCUUGCACUGGGGGUUGUAGGACUGCAAUGUGCAAGAGGUGAGUUUAGCAGAACAUUCUGGAAAGUAUAGCCAUAGAGGGUGAUAGUCCCGUAUGCGAAAAACAAACCUUAGCUAGCAGUAUCCUGAGUAGGGCGGGACACGAGAAAUCCUGUCUGAAGCUGGGUCGACCACGAUCCAACCCUAAAUACUAAUACCAGAUCGAUAGUGCACAAGUACCGUGAGGGAAAGGUGAAAAGAACUGAGGUGAUCAGAGUGAAAUAGAACCUGAAACCAUUUGCUUACAAUCAUUCAGAGCCCUAUGUAGCAAUACAGGGUGAUGGACUGCCUUUUGCAUAAUGAGCCUGCGAGUUGUGGUGUCUGGCAAGGUUAAGCAAACGCGAAGCCGUAGCGAAAGCGAGUCUGAAUAGGGCGCUUAGUCAGAUGCUGCAGACCCGAAACGAAGUGAUCUAUCCAUGAGCAAGUUGAAGCUAGUGUAAGAACUAGUGGAGGACUGAACCCAUAGGCGUUGAAAAGCCCCGGGAUGACUUGUGGAUAGGGGUGAAAGGCCAAUCAAACUUCGUGAUAGCUGGUUCUCUCCGAAAUAUAUUUAGGUAUAGCGUUGUGUCGUAAUAUAAGGGGGUAGAGCACUGAAUGGGCUAGGGCAUACACCAAUGUACCAAACCCUAUCAAACUCCGAAUACCUUAUAUGUAAUCACAGCAGUCAGGCGGCGAGUGAUAAAAUCCGUCGUCAAGAGGGAAACAACCCAGACUACCAGCUAAGGUCCCUAAAUCUUACUUAAGUGGAAAACGAUGUGAAGUUACUUAAACAACCAGGAGGUUGGCUUAGAAGCAGCCAUCCUUUAAAGAAAGCGUAAUAGCUCACUGGUCUAGUGAUUUUGCGCGGAAAAUAUAACGGGGCUAAAGUAAGUACCGAAGCUGUAGACUUGCGCACAACUUAGAUUAUUUAAGUUUAGAAUAUGAGAAACUAAGUUAUAUGUUUAGUUAUAUUUUUACUGAUUUUUAUAGAGUAAAGAUAGAAAUAAAACUUAGUAAAAUCAGUAAAAAUAUUCUUAGACUAAAGUUAAGUAGUUUAAGUUGUGUGCAAGUGGUAGGAGAGCGUUCUAUUUGCGUCGAAGGUAUACCGGUAAGGAGUGCUGGAGCGAAUAGAAGUGAGCAUGCAGGCAUGAGUAGCGAUAAUUAAUGUGAGAAUCAUUAACGCCGUAAACCCAAGGUUUCCUACGCGAUGCUCGUCAUCGUAGGGUUAGUCGGGUCCUAAGUCGAGUCCGAAAGGGGUAGACGAUGGCAAAUUGGUUAAUAUUCCAAUACCAACAUUAGUGUGCGAUGGAAGGACGCUUAGGGCUAAGGGGGCUAGCGGAUGGAAGUGCUAGUCUAAGGUCGUAGGAGGUUAUACAGGCAAAUCCGUAUAACAAUACUCCGAGAACUGAAAGGCUUUUUGAAGUCUUCGGAUGGAUAGAAGAACCCCUGAUGCCGUCGAGCCAAGAAAAGUUUCUAAGUUUAGCUAAUGUUGCCCGUACCGUAAACCGACACAGGUGGGUGGGAUGAGUAUUCUAAGGCGCGUGGAAGAACUCUCUUUAAGGAACUCUGCAAAAUAGCACCGUAUCUUCGGUAUAAGG
rnacentral:rRNA from 1 species